rnacentral:rRNA from 1 species
UACGGGGGGAGCAAGCGUUGUCCGGAUUUACUGGGCGUAAAGGGCGCGUAGGCGGUCGUGACAAGUCACUUGUGAAAUCUCCGGGCUUAACUCGGAACGGUCAAGUGAUACUGUCGGACUAGAGUACAGAAGGGGCAACUGGAAUUCUCGGUGUAGCGGUGAAAUGCGUAGAUAUCGAGAGGAACACCUGCGGCGAAGGCGGGUUGCUGGGCUGAUACUGACGCUGAGGCGCGAAAGCCAGGGGAGCGAACGGG